CAACCCCAGAGUCCUAAGAUGUUAUUUGAAGGAGGCCAUAAACCGUGAAUGGGUGUUGGAAGGACUGAAAGAGGGGGGUGGAUUUGAGUGAGGAAACCUGGUGCUCCCUAAUGAAAGGCAAAGUUUAAACCUGAAAGGCCCUACCCUAAGCUUCUACCUCAAGAGGAAGAGAGAGAGAGACACACCACCACCUUAACAUAUCCUGCUUCAGGGAAAAUAAAUCUUCAUUGCUGUUCUGAUCUGGGGUAAGGAAGGCACCAUUGCUAGCUUCAUCUCUGAGCAUCCACAGUACAUACAGAGACAUCUCCAGACUGGCACAGCUGAUGAUAUCCCUUCCCAGGACAAGGAACAUUACACUAAAGUCCAUUCAUAGCUGAGGGAGGUGGAACAGAACCAAAGAACUUUGGCUUCCAUCCAGAAGGCCAUAAGAAACAAAAGUCCCCACUUCACAAUCAGAUCCAUGUGUCUAUGCAGAGACCUAUAAGAGAAAAUAACACCUUAAUAGGAAAUGUGGGAUACAUAUAGGACAGGACACAUGACAUUCUAUAAAAGAACCUCUUGGGAAUGCAGAUUGUGUCCCUCCAUGUAGCCAAGGAGAAGCACCAGUACCUCUGUACUGAACAUAUGGCAUAUAUCUAUAACAAGGGGCCAUCCAAGAGCUUCUCCACUGAACAUAUCACAUGACCACUGUACAUCCAAAGAGCCAGAGUAGUGACCGUUCCCUGGAUAUGUGGAUGCUGAUUCAUCCAGAGCACAACAGAACCUCCAGAUAGACUAUACACUCCUGUAAAAGCCACGAGUGUCCCUCCACAAAGCACAUCGCAUCCAUCCACCUAACCACAGACCCACAGCAUAAUAAAUAUCCUGAGCACCACCCCACUGGACCUAAUGUAAGAAAUACCCAGAGGAGCUCCAUGUAGGGCUGCCACUUCACAGGACCUGUUGGCAACUAGAGUGUACAUUCAGCAUACUAUACAACUCCUGAGGGUAUUCUGCACCCAAAAAUUUAUAAGUCUUGCAGAAUUUUAAACUAUUGUGCACAAGUUUAUUUGUCAAAUAAAUGUGGAGGCUCCAGCAUGG